GGGCAGGAGACAGGUGGNGCAUGGUUGUCGUCAGCUCGUGUCGUGAGAUGUUGGGUUAAGUCCCGCAACGAGCGCAACCCUUAUCAUUAGUUGCUACCAUUUAGUUGAGCACUUUAAUGAGACUGCCGUGGUUAACGCGGAGGAAGGUGGGGAUGACGUCAAAUCAUCAUGCCCCUUAUGUCUAGGGCUACACACGUGCUACAAUGGUGAGUACAAAGAGACGCAAUACCGCGAGGUGGAGCAAAACUCAAAAACUCAUCCCAGUUCGGAUUGUAGGCUGAAACUCGCCUACAUGAAGCCGGAGUUGCUAGUAAUCGCGAAUCAGCAUGUCGCGGUGAAUACGUUCCCGGGCCUUGUACACACCGCCCGUCACACCAUGAGAGUNUGCAACACCCGAAGUCCGUGAGGUAACCCGUAAGGGANCCAGCGUCUCGAAGGUGGGUCGGAUGAUUGGGUGCUC
rnacentral:rRNA from 1 species